UAGAUUUUGGAAUGUUUGCGG
rnacentral:piRNA from 1 species